AUUGAACGCUGGCGGCAUGCCUUACACAUGCAAGUCGAACGGCAGCGGGGGAGAAGCUUGCUUUUCCUGCCGGCGAGUGGCGAACGGGUGAGUAAUACAUCGGAACGUGCCCUGUAGUGGGGGAUAACUAGUCGAAAGAUUAGCUAAUACCGCAUACGACCUGAGGGUGAAAGUGGGGGACCGCAAGGCCUCAUGCUAUAGGAGCGGCCGAUGUCUGAUUAGCUAGUUGGUGGGGUAAAGGCCUACCAAGGCGACGAUCAGUAGCUGGUCUGGGAGGACGAUCAGCCACACUGGGACUGAGACACGGCCCAGACUCCUACGGGAGGCAGCAGUGGGGAAUUUUGGACAAUGGGCGAAAGCCUGAUCCAGCUAUGCCGCGUGUGUGAAGAAGGCCUUCGGGUUGUAAAGCACUUUUGUCCGGAAAGAAAUGGCUCUGGUUAAUACCUGGGGUCGAUGACGGUACCGGAAGAAUAAGGACCGGCUAACUACGUGCCAGCCGCCACCGUAA
rnacentral:rRNA from 1 species